GACGAACGCUGGCGGCGUGCCUAAUACAUGCAAGUAGGACGCAGUUGCGAACGGGUGAGUAAUGCGUAGGUAACUACCUUUUAGAGGGGGAUCACUAUUGGAAACGUUAGCCAAUACCGCAUACUCGUAGAUGGAUCUGCGUUUUAUUAGCUAGUAGAUGGGGUAAUGGCGCACCUAGGCAACGAUACAUAGCCGACCUGAGAGAGUGGUCGGCCACACUGUGACUGAGACACGGCCCAGACUCCUACGGGAGGCAGCAGUAGGGAAUCUUCGGCAAGGGGGGGAACCCUGACCGAGCAACGCCGCGUGAGUGAAGAAGGUUUUCGGAUCGUAAAGCUCUGUUGUUAAAGAAGCGGUACUUAACCAGAAAGGGACGGCUAACUACGUGCCAGCUGCCGCGGUAAUUC
rnacentral:rRNA from 1 species